rnacentral:lncRNA from 1 species
AUUGCCCACUAUUAUGUGUCUAUCUAUGAGAUAUGAAUAUUACAUGGAUUCUAAGAUUUCAUAUAAAAAUAACUCAGAGCCAGAUUAUAGAAGGGAUUACUUGUAAACAGUACAAGUUAGGACAAUCACCCCCAGAAAGGGAUUAAUCAACUUCAAACACAUAACUUGACCUCACGAUAAUGCUUACCCACAGAUAAGCAUAUCUCUCUUUGGAGAGUAGAUUUUUUAAAUGCAGGUCACACAGUGAUCCCUAAGUAGAUCCUAUAAAACAUUUUUUAAACUACCCUAUCUGGUAUCAUUAUAAAGUAUAAUCAAGUCCCAGUGUUAUCAUCACUACUGAAGCCUGUAGUAGAAUUAAUUGUUCUUCAUUUCGAGUCAAAAAUAGGCUUUUUAUAAGGAAACCUAAAUUAAAGCAUUCAAAAAGUUCCCAUUUUGAAUAGUUAAGCACAUUAUUAGUAAUUGGGAUGUAAGCACUCAUUGAUUUUAAUCUUUUGUUCAUGCUUGGUUUCUAUUCUUUCGGUUGUGAAUCCAUAUAUGUACCACAUAUAUAGCCAAGGCCGCACUAAGUAAUGCGGGUUUCUGCAAGCUGAGAUAUAGUGUUUAUAAAAUGUAUAAAAAUGGUAACACAAUAAAUUUGUAUGUUAUAUAGGAAUAAAUGAAUUCGGGUUUAAAAAGUUUUAAAUUGUAGUAAAUACAUUCAAGCAUGUAUAGAUAGUAAAUUUUAUUAUAUGUUUUUUACAUAUAGAAAAUAAAAUUUUACCAACUUAACAAUUUUUUAAAUUUUUAAAUUAAAUAUAGUUGAUUUGCAAUGUUGUGUCAAUUUCUGCUGUAUGGCAAAGUGACCCAUUAUACAUAUAUGUGCAUUCUUUUUCUCAUAUUAUCUUCCAUCAUGUUCAAUCACAAGAGAUUGGACAUAGUGCCCUGUGCAGUACAGUAGGACCUCCUUGCUUAUCCAUUCUAAGCAUAAUAGUUAGCAUCUACUAACCCCAAAUGGGACGGACUGGGAGUUUGGGGUUAGUAGAUGCCAAUUUAGCAGUUUUUAAGUGUGCAGUUCAAUAGUGUUAAGUGCAGUCACAGUUGUUGGGCAGCCAAUAGACAGAUCUCUUUUCAUCUUGCAAAACUAAACGUAUCCCAUGAAAUAACAACUGCCCAUUCUCCCCUCACUCUAGCCCCAGGCAACAACAAUUCUAUUUUCCGUCUAUGAAUUUGACUUCUCCAGCUACCUCCUAUAAGUGGAAUAUUACAGUUUUUGUCCUUUUGCAGCUGGCUUAUUUCACUUGGCAUAGCGCCCUCACAUUUCACUCACGUUGUAGCACGUGUCAGCAUUUCCUUCCAUUUUAAGGCUGAGUAAUAUUCCUUUGUAUGUGUAUAAUACGUUUUGUUUAUCUAUUCAGUCACUGAUGGACUCUUGGGUUGCUUCUGCCUUUUGGUUAUUGUGCAUAAUGCUGUUGGGCACAUGGGUUUACAAAUAUUCCUUUGAGGCUCUGCUUUCAGUUCUUUUGGGUAUAUACCCAGUAGUGGGAUUCUACUUUUAAUUUUUUGAGGAACAACCAUACUCUUCACCAUAGUGGCAAGACCACUUUACAUCCCUGCCAAUAGUGCACAAGAUUCUACUUUCUCUACAUUUGCUAUUUUCCGAGUUUUUAGAACUAUGAAUUAGGCGUUAACUAGCAACUUUGAAUCUAUGAUACCCUCUGGGGAAAAAAUCUGAGCUUUUUCCUUUCUAUAGGAAAAGAUGGUUAAAGUUGAAAGUGAAGAAAAUGAAACUUUUCUAACAACUCUAUAUCAUCAUUAAGCCCUGAUACCCUUCCGCCUCAAAAUGUCUGACAUGUGCUUUGUACAAAGUAUGUGCUUAGGAAAUAAUAAAUGAGAUAAAAUGUUUGAAUUUCUCACAGAGUUUUAGAAUUCAAGGUGAAUUUCAAGAUUCCUCAUGGUAAAGGACAUACACUUUUAGGUUAUCUGCCCUCGUCUGUCUGAUGAAUGUUGCCUCACUUGAUAAACCACUUCUUCUGGUUGUUGUGGGGAUUAAAUGAAUAAUGCACAUAAGGCACCCAGAAUGGCCCAUUAUAAAUUUAAUAAAUAUUAGCUAUUCUGGUUUCCAAAUCAGUGCCUUGCUUCAAGAUCCCAAUACUUGGAUUCCUUGCUUAUAAAAUGGAGAUGGAGAGAAAAACCUAUUUUGCAGUGUUAUUGUAAACAUAAAAUAAGGUAAUAUAUGGAGAAAUGCUUUGUAAGCUAUUCAUUCUAUAUGAAUUUGAGAAGUUCCAUGAUCCCAUAUGAAUUUUCUAGUCCUGUUAUUCCACUAGAGACCCUUAUAUGUGAUAUGUUCUGGCCAAAUUAGGCCUCUCAUACAUCUCUGAACUCAGCUUAUAAUUUUUGUUAGAUCAGUACCAUAACAGAGACCGAAAAAUAAGCUAAGAAUUACGUUAAACAAAUAGGACCUCAAAGUUAGAUUAUUUUACCUAUUAAUUCUUUUAAACUCUUAAUAACAAAAAUCCUCAUACUAUAUAAACAAUUAACAUCAUUUAAGAAAAUCUUUUUAAAAAUUCCAGUUUAUUUAAUGAAGCUAGCAAAACCAGAGAACAAAAAUAUGUUAAAGUCUUUUUAAAAUAAAAACAAACAAAUAAAUUUGGCUAAUUUUAUUUUUUACAUUACUGCAACAAUAACAUAAAUACAAAUAAGUAAAGCUCAAUGGUUUGUUUAAACCACAUUUCUCAAAAUUUGGUCUGUAUAUCGCAUGUUAGAAUCAUGGUGGUAGAGAAUUUUACUUCUAAAAAUUCAAAUUCUCAGCCUCAUUCCAGACCUACUGAAUCAGAAUCUCCAACGGUGUUGAUAGACUCUGCACCUUAAGCAUAUGUCCCAGGUGAUUUUUACGCAAACCAAGUGAAAAAUACUACAUUGACAUAAUCUGUCAUAACUAUAGAGUAUUUCUAUCAAUUAUAAAUCCAGGGGGUUCCUGUUGUGGCUCAAUGGGUUAAGAACCCUACUAGCAUCCGUGAGGAUGUGGGUUUGAUCCGUGGCUUUCACCCAGUGGGUUGCCCUAAGCUGCAGCAUAGGUCACAGAUGCGGCUCAGAUGUGGCGUUGCUGUGGCUGUGAUGUAGGCUGGCAGCUGUAGCUCUGAUUCAACCCCUAGCCUGGGAACCUCCAUGUGCCGCAGGUGCAGCCCUAUGAAGGAAAAAAAAAAAAAAAGAAAUCCAAGAAAUUAUUAACAUCAAGACACUUAGUAAUAUAAAGAUUUAUUUCAAUAAACCCAAAAGGAAAAAAAAAAUCCACAGGAUAGAUGCUAAAAAGUUAGUCAAUAAAAUUCAACACCUAUUCCUGUUUAAAUAUAUCCAAAAACCGAAGAAAGCAUCCUCAAAAUUAUAGAGAAUAAUGACUUUAAAGCAACAUUAUUAAACAUAACGUUGCCUGGCUUUUUAAAAAAUGAAAACAUUAGCAGUAUUCUUAUUAAUGGACUAAAUAAGAAUAUUAGAAAUCUCCUGGAGUUCCCGCUGUGGUGCAACUGGAUCGGCAGCAUCUCUGCAGCGCCAGGGUGCAGGUUGCAUCCCAGGCGCAGCACAGUGGGUUAAAAGAUCCAACAGUAUUGCAGCUGCAGCAUAGGUCAAAACACUGGCUUGGAGCUGAUCCCUGGUCCAGGGACUCUAUGCUGCGAGGGGGAC